CGAGUCCGAGUCUCCACGGAGACGAAGUGGCGGUCAUCCAGCUUCCUAGAAAAGCUCUAACCACGUUAAUCUUUAGUUGCCUGUACCCGAAACCGACACAGGUAGGGGGGUAGAGAAUACCAAGGGGCGCGAGAUAACUCUCUCUAAGGAACUCGGCAAAAUGACCCCGUAACUUCGGGAGAAGGGGUACCACUGAGAAGUGGUCGCAGUGAAGAGGCCCAGGCGACUGCUUACCAAAAACACAGGUCUCCGCCAAGUCGCAAGACGAAGUAUGGGGGCUGACGCCUGCCCAGUGCCGGAAGGUUAAGGAAGUGGGUUAGGGAUUCGUCCCGAAGCUGACGACUGAAGCCCCGGUGAACGGCGGCCGUAACUAUAACGGUCCUAAGGUAGCGAAAUUCCUUGUCGGGUAAGUUCCGACCCGCACGAAAGGCGUAACGAUCUGGGCGCUGUCUCGGAGAGAGGCUCGGCGAAAUAGGAUUGUCUGUGAAGAUACGGACUACCUGCACCUGGACAGAAAGACCCUAUGAAGCUUUACUGUAGCUUGGAAUUGGGUUCGGGCUUGGUUUGCGCAGGAUAGGUGGGAGGCGAAGAAGAUUUGCUUGUGGGUGAAUCUGAGCCAACGGUGAGAUACCACUCUAACCAGGCUAGAAUUCUAACUUCAACCCGUCAACCGGGGGAAGGACAGUUUCAGGUGGGCAGUUUGACUGGGGCGGUCGCCUCCUAAAAGAUAACGGAGGCGCACAAAGGUUCCCUCAGGCUGGUUGGAAAUCAGCCAACGAGUGCAAAGGCAGAAGGGAGCUUGACUGCGAGACCUACAAGUCAAGCAGGGUGGAAACACGGUCUUAGUGAUCCGACGGCACCGAGUGGAAGGGCCGUCGCUCAACGGAUAAAAGUUACUCUAGGAUAACAGCCUGAUCUCCCCCAAGAGUUCACAUCGACGGGGAGGUUUGGCACCUCGAUGUCGGCUCAUCGCAACCUGGGGCGGAAGUACGUCCCAAGGGUUGGGCUGUUCGCCCAUUAAAGCGGUACGUGAGCUGGGUUCAGAACGUCGUGAGACAGUUCGGUCCAUAUCCGGUGUAGGCGCAAGAACAUUGAGAGGAGUCUUUCUUAGUACGAGAGGACCGGGAAGAACGCACCGCUGGUGUACCUGUUAUCGUGCCAACGGUAAACGCAAGGUAGCCAAGUGCGGAGUGGAUAACCGCUGAAAGCAUCUAAGUGGGAAGCCCACCUCAAGAUGAGUGUUCUCAUGGAGUAAUCCAGUAAGGUCACGGGAAGACGACCCGUUGAUAGGCGGUAGGUGGAAGUUCAGCAAUGGAUGAAGCCGAGCCGUACUAACAGACCGAGGGCUUGAU
rnacentral:rRNA from 1 species